rnacentral:rRNA from 1 species
UAGGGAAUCUUCCACAAUGGACGAAAGUCUGAUGGAGCAACGCCGCGUGAGUGAUGAAGGGUUUCGGCUCGUAAAACUCUGUUGUUGGAGAAGAACAGGUGCCAGAGUAACUGUUGACAUCUUGACGGUAUCCAACCAGAAAGCCACGGCUAACUACGUGCCAGCAGCCGCGGUAAUACGUAGGUGGCAAGCGUUGUCCGGAUUUAUUGGGCGUAAAGCGAGCGCAGGCGGUUUCUUAGGUCUGAUGUGAAAGCCUUCGGCUUAACCGGAGAAGUGCAUCGGAAACCAGGAGACUUGAGUGCAGAAGAGGACAGUGGAACUCCAUGUGUAGCGGUGAAAUGCGUAGAUAUAUGGAAGAACACCAGUGGCGAAGGCGGCUGUCUGGUCUGUAACUGACGCUGAGGCUCGAAAGCAUGGGUAGCGAACAGGAUUAGAUACCCUGGUAGUCCAUGCCGUAAACGAUGAGUGCUAAGUGUUGGAGGGUUUCCGCCCUUCAGUGCUGCAGCUAAC